GUAUAUAAAAAGUUCAAUCAACAUCACAGCUAUAGCUAGGCAACCCAUGAAAAAUAUUCGAACCACUUCCAAUCCAUGUGCCGCUCCUUUCCCUCAUUGUGCUAUGCACCUCGCUAUCACAACCUAUCCUCACGUCGUAGCUCUAAGCUCACUAAUUGUUCCUUAUGCCCUAAGGGCCUGUUUAGAUGCACUAAAAAACUCAAAAGUUUACAAGAUUCUCCGCCACAUCGAAUCUUGCAGCACAUGCAUAGAGCAUUAAAUAUAGAUAAAAAAAUAACUAAUUGUACAAUUUACCUGU
rnacentral:lncRNA from 1 species